GCGUUUAACGUGACAAAAAUGAUGAGUUGGGGCAACCAACUUGUAAAACAUAAAAAACAAAAAUAUAUGACAAGACUUCUGCUGACAUAAAGGUCCAAGAAACUCACUGAGAAAGUCCGAAAGAAAAAUACUAUUCAUAGACUGAUAGACAUAAUCCUUGUUUUUGAACAUGAUACCACUUUUAGUGUUAAAUACCGAACGAGUAUCGACGGAAACAAAGAUGCAAGAGCGAACUACGGAGCAUUCACCCCACACAUACACACAGAUUUUUGACAAAUUUGUGCACCAUAAAUUUCAGUUGUAAAGCAGCAGAAGCCACUAUGAAAAUUGACAGCAGAAACGGCAGGUGGAGGAGGAGUUGAAAGGCAGGUAACUAAAACUAUCCUGCAAUGCACACCUGGAAUAACAUGAGCUACCCCACAUCCCCCUCAUGAAAUGAUCCCCCGCAGGAGUUGGUCUAAAUGAAAUUUAGCCGAGUUUCGUUUUCACUUUAAUCAAAAACUUUUUGCCACGCCACCGAAA